rnacentral:rRNA from 1 species
AACGAACGCUGGCGGCAUGCCUAACACAUGCAAGUCGAACGAACCCUUCGGGGUUAGUGGCGCACGGGUGCGUAACGCGUGGGAAUCUGCCCUUUGCUUCGGAAUACCUCAGGGAAACUUGUGCUAAUACCGGAUGAUGUCUUCGGACCAAAGUUUUAUCGGCAAAGGAUGAGCCCGCGUAGGAUUAGGUAGUUGGUGGGGUAAAGGCCUACCAAGCCGACGAUCCUUAGCUGGUCUGAGAGGAUGAUCAGCCACACUGGGACUGAGACACGGCCCAGACUCCUACGGGAGGCAGCAGUGGGGAAUAUUGGACAAUGGGCGAAAGCCUGAUCCAGCAAUGCCGCGUGAGUGAUGAAGGCCUUAGGGUCGUAAAGCUCUUUUACCAGAGAUGAUAAUGACAGUACCUGGAGAAUAAGCUCCGGCUAACUCCGUGCCAGCCGCCGCAGUAAGAC